rnacentral:ncRNA from 1 species
AUAGCAGGGGAGCUUGCAGCAGCAGGCUGAGAUUAGGCUAUGCCUUGACCCUUAACCUGAUUCGGAUAAUGCCGACGUAGGAAGCUCACAU